GAUCUUUACUAUUCAAUACCGCAUGAUGAGCUAUUUCGCAGUGUGAUGACGUGCAUCGAAGAAAGUGGCGAGGUAGAUUUUCGCAAUGUGACCGGGUUGUCUUCGGAAAGUUUCAUGUCCCUUCUUGAAUCUUAUUUAAGUGCAACUUUUAUCCGGUUCGAAAACAACCUUUUUAUCCAGAAAAAUGGUGUGUGUAUUGGUUCAUGUGUGGCGCCUGCUCUUUGUAAUAUCUUUUUAUCGUUUGUCGACCGCGCUCUUAAGAGUGCCUUAAACAAUGACUCAGUUCAAAUUUUUAGAUAUGUUGACGAUUUUCUUGUUGUGAUGAAACAGCCUAACAAUGACUGCUCCGUGACGGUAGCUGAUAUUUUAACUCUGUUCAAUGACAAUGGCAAAGGUUUAACUUUCACACAUGAGCUAUCUAGGGACGGAAAACUCCAGUUUUUAGAUUUGCAGCUUUCCUUACAAACAGGCCACGCCUGUUGGAUGUAUUCGCCACGUGCACGUAAGGAACUUUUACCUUACGCGUCUGCGCACUCAAAGACUGUGAAACGCGCCAUUGCUUUGAUGUGUUUAGAAUCUUCCUUAAUGAAAUCUUGUCAUCACUCUGCGAACAUGAGUUUCAUUGCUCAGUUAAAUAGGCUGCAGGCAGCUGGUUACCCAAGUGUGGUGGUGACGUCAGUCUCGGAGGUAUUGCUUCAGAAACUGAAAGGGAAGCGGCACAAAAGUAACCGCAUCACACAAAAGAAGAGGCCUGAAGUUGUGCCGUAUUGCCACAGAGUGGCUCACAAUCUAAAGAAUGUCGCCACUAGAUAUCAAAUUCCGGUAGUGUUUUCCGCUCCUCAGAAACUGUCAAUGUUGUGCAGCCGUAUUUCUAAAACAAAUAAAAAACCUGAUUGUGAAAAGAACCACGUGAAGUUUGUAGAUUGCAGAGUCGGUGUGGUUUAUAAGAUUCCCUUGUCAUGUGGCAAAGUGUAUGUAGGGCAGUCAGGCCGCUGUGUUAACGAGCGCCUUAGAGAACAUGAGCGAUCCAUACCAACAGGCACAGGUUCCCAUUUGGCUCAGCAUUGUAAAACAUGCAAGUGGAAACCCAUGUUUCGUGAUACCACGAUUUUGAAAAAGAGCCGUGACACCACCGCCCGAGAGUUAUCGGAAGCUUUUUUUCAUUCAGUCAUUGGGGUCACAGUGCAUUAGUGUGCCUUCCUUAACCUUGUACAGCGCUGAAUUUGGUUUUUUGGAUUCUGUCGCAUCAGUGCGCUCUUGGGAUCGGAUGUUGGUGGCUCCACCGCAUGGUGCUCACUGCGCAUGUUCCUCUGGUUUGAGCGGUCUAUAAAGGAGUGACGCAAUAAAAUGAUGUCAGUUGAGAGUAGCGCCUUGUCCUGUCGUCUUUCUUGUCUCUGUCGUUUUGCGCUAAACAAAGUAUUCAUGGAUUCGCACCAACUAGCCCGCCAACGCAUUGUGCUGAGGAGACGAUGACUUCGACGUCUUGGAUGUAGCCGUAAACAGUGUUCCGACCAGACGCGACUGGCUUGUGAAAGCUACAAUAGGUGGAAGGAACGACACAUUCAAGGUUGACAGCGGAUCCCAAGCAAACUUCGGGCCAGUUUAUCGCAAGUUAAAUGUCGGUACGCUUCAGUCAAACGGCGCGGCGCUGCGCUCGUGCAACGGCGGAAUUAUCAAGCUCUGUGGAACGUUCUCGGCACGCCUCGUCAUUGGUAACUGGCAGGGACGCCUUCAUCGAGAAUACAGAAUCGUGCUUCGCGAAGAUGGUACGCCCAUCGUCCAGCCAGCGUCUCUUCAGCAGCAGCUGCAUGCAGAAUUGGACCGGACGGAACGAGCGGGGAUCGUGCGGAAGAUGAGCAGCCCAAGAGACUGGAAAUCGACCAGCUGCGUGACCUGUCAACCAACUCGGUGACGGAGAGGCUCGGAGCGAUGUUCUCACGAUAGGCAUCCCAACAGACGUGUGCACUGACAAUGGUCCCCAAUUUCCCAGCCAAUAGUUUGCCCGUUUCGCUAAGCUGUACGACUUUCAGCACGUGUAUUCAAGUCCCCUGUUCCCGCGCUCAAACGGACUAGCAGAAAAAGGCAUGCAAGUGGUGAAAAGGAUAUUGAAAAAGUCCACCGAAGCAAGCGAAGACGUCUGACGUGGUUUGCUUAGUUACAGAGCCAGCCCCUUCGAAGAUGGAUGGUCCCCUGGCGAACUGCUUCAAGGAAGGCCUUUGCACACACCUCUACCUGACUUCACACCGCAACCAGUCGUUCGUACAACGAAGCACAAGCAAACAAACCGGAGGCAUCCUACCUUGCCCCCCCCCCCUCCCUUCAACAUAAUUGCAGAAAUUUCGCAGAA